UACAGAGGUCCCAAGCGUUGUUCGGAAUUACUGGGCGUAAAGCGUGCGCAGGCGGCCAUCCAAGUCAGUGGUGAAAGCCCGGAGCUCAACUCCGGAAUUGCCAUUGAAACUGUUUGGCUCGAGUACGAGAGAGGUGAGUGGAAUUCCCAGUGUAGAGGUGAAAUUCGUAGAUAUUGGGAAGAACACCGGUGGCGAAGGCGGCUCACUGGCUCGUAACUGACGCUCAUGCACGACAGCGUGGGGAUCAAACAGG
rnacentral:rRNA from 1 species